CAGUCAAGACAACAUUUGGGUGGAGGAGGUCGGGGAACGUACGGCGGAUGUAGACACUUUGAAAUUCUUACAUAUAUUUUUACAUCAAUUUCUAUUUCAACAUGAAACAAAGCAGUCUUGGUAGACUUCUUUUGACAUCAUCUGGAGCAAAUCGUCUGCACAGAUACAAUAUGUCUUCGAAACAGCCACCAUCACAGGUGAGCGCUGGAGCCAACCGUUUGGGCUACAGGCCCGGUGGAAUCAAGUCCGGUACGGCCGCAGCUGACCAAAUGGCCUGCACUACGUAGGAUCACGGUGGCAAAGUUCCAGCGGGCAGCACGGUCUCUAAGAUGCAGUCCGCGGGGAGCAAGGGCAACUACUUUAGAGGAGGCGCCAGCGGGCAUAAGAAGUAGACUGGACAUUCGGGACCAGUCUUGGAAUCUAGUUGACCGAGGUCAACUUUAAUUGUAGUGACUGAUACCUUUUAUCAAAUAAUUAAUUUCGUUUGUCCAUUCUAGUUUCCCGUAAUAAUAAGUCAAGUAUCUUCAAUUUCUACUAAAUAUUUUUUAACUAUUA